rnacentral:tRNA from 1 species
AAAGACUUAAGUUAGAAAAACUAAAAGCCUUCAAAGCUUUAAUCGGCACCAAAACCAGUCUUUA